CACGUAGGGGGCGAGCGUUGUCCGGAUUUAUUGGGCGUAAAGAGCUCGUAGGCGGCCGUUCGCGUCGGAUGUGAAAGCUCAGGGCUCAACUCUGAGACGCCAUUCGAUACGGGACGGCUAGAGGUAGGUAGGGGAAAGUGGAAUUCCUGGUGUAGCGGUGAAAUGCGCAGAUAUCAGGAGGAACACCGAUGGCGAAGGCAGGUCUCUGGGCAUUAACUGACGCUGAGGAGCGAAAGCAUGGGGAGCGAACAGG
rnacentral:rRNA from 1 species